UACCAGCACCCCGAGUGGUCGGGACGAUUAUUGGGCCUAAAGCAUCCGUAGCCGGUUUUACAAGUCCUCCGUUAAAUCCAACUGCUUAACAGAUGGGCCGCGGAGGAUACUAUAAGACUAGGAGGCAGGAGAGGCAAGCGGUACUCAGUGGGUAGGGGUAAAAUCCGUUGAUCCAUUGAAGACCACCAGUGGCGAAGGCGGCUUGCCAGAAUGCGCUCGACGGUGAGGGAUGAAAGCUGGGGGAGCAAACCGGAUUAGAUACCCGGUAGUCC
rnacentral:rRNA from 1 species